rnacentral:rRNA from 1 species
UACGUAGGGACCAAGCGUUGUUCGGAUUUACUGGGCGUAAAGGGCGCGUAGGCGGCAAUUCAAGUCAGCUGUGAAAUCUCUGGGCUUAACCCAGAACGGCCAGCUGAUACUGCUUUGCUAGAGUGCAGAAGGGGCAAUCGGAAUUCUUGGUGUAGCGGUGAAAUGCGUAGAUAUCAGGAGGAACACCGAUUGCGAAGGCAGCUCGCUGGGACGUAACUGACGCUGAGACGCGAAAGCGUGGGGAGCAAACAGG